rnacentral:rRNA from 1 species
GACGAACGCUGGCGGCGUGCCUAAUACAUGCAAGUCGAGCGAGCUUGCCUAGAUGAAUUUGGUGCUUGCACCAAAUGAAACUAGAUACAAGCGAGCGGCGGACGGGUGAGUAACACGUGGGUAACCUGCCCAAGAGACUGGGAUAACACCUGGAAACAGAUGCUAAUACCGGAUAACAACACUAGACGCAUGUCUAGAGUUUAAAAGAUGGUUCUGCUAUCACUCUUGGAUGGACCUGCGGUGCAUUAGCUAGUUGGUAAGGUAACGGCUUACCAAGGCAAUGAUGCAUAGCCGAGUUGAGAGACUGAUCGGCCACAUUGGGACUGAGACACGGCCCAAACUCCUACGGGAGGCAGCAGUAGGGAAUCUUCCACAAUGGACGCAAGUCUGAUGGAGCAACGCCGCGUGAGUGAAGAAGGGUUUCGGCUCGUAAAGCUCUGUUGGUAGUGAAGAAAGAUAGAGGUAGUAACUGGCCUUUAUUUGACGGUAAUUACUUAGAAAGUCACGGCUAACUACGUGCCAGCAGCCGCGGUAAUACGUAGGUGGCAAGCGUUGUCCGGAUUUAUUGGGCGUAAAGCGAGUGCAGGCGGUUCAAUAAGUCUGAUGUGAAAGCCUUCGGCUCAACCGGAGAAUUGCAUCAGAAACUGUUGAACUUGAGUGCAGAAGAGGAGAGUGGAACUCCAUGUGUAGCGGUGGAAUGCGUAGAUAUAUGGAAGAACACCAGUGGCGAAGGCGGCUCUUUGGUCUGCAACUGACGCUGAGGCUCGAAAGCAUGGGUAGCGAACAGG